rnacentral:lncRNA from 1 species
AUUGAGAAUAGACUAAUUAAGGAUUUUAACAUAUAAAUUUAAGCCCUUAAUUAUUUUUCUCAAAUUUUUGAAAAAUUUUCCAAAGUCAGAACAGGGGAAACCGAAUUCAUUCUGACAUUGUCUCACAAAAUUUAUUAUAUCUCAUGAUUUACAAUUCCAUUACUUACGCCGUUUCUUCUAUGAGAAACUAGACUCAAUAAGAUUUAAUUUCAUAUUCUGUUCAUCCUCUAAUUCGAUCUUCAAAAUUUAUGGUGAUUUUUCAAAGUUAACCUAUUGCUGCUGUCUAAAACUGUUUUAGUGCAAGAUGUUGAUUACUAAGUUUAUAACUCCCUUAUUCCCUUUCUCUAUAAUAUUUCUCACCACUUUCACUUAUUUCCCUUCACUAAUAUAUCAAGAACAUUAGACCUUAUAUAAGAAAACUCUACUAUAACAUCAUUUCUAUGCUUUUUCAAUAAUAUCAAACUUAAAAAUAUAUUGAAAUCUUGAUGUUCUUACCUUCUCCUAUUAGUUUCAACCUUUAACUUAAUUUUCUCUCUCCUCCAGCUUCUCUUUCUUGAAUCGAACUUGAUAUUCU